UAAAAUUUAAAGUUAAGUGUUAAAGUAGUAUUAGUUAAGUUCUUGAAAUUUAAAAAAUUUGGCGGUAUUUUAGUCCAUUCAGAGGAACCUGUUUUGUAAUUGAUAAUCCACGAUGAACCUUACUUAAAUUUGUUUAAUUUAUUAGUUUAUAUAUCGUCGUUUAUUGAAUAUUUUUUGAGAAUAAUAAUUUUCUUAAUUUUUUUAAUAAAAUAUAUCAGAUCAAGAUGUAGCUUAUGUUUAAGUCUAUAAUGGGUUACAUUUAAAUUAUUAUUUGAAUUUUAAUAUGAAAUUUAUUUUAUGAAAUUGGAUUUGAUAGUAAAUUUAUAAAGAUAAAUAAAUUGAUUUUGGCUCUAAAAUAUG
rnacentral:rRNA from 1 species